CCGUGACGAUAAUUAUCCAAGGAGAACUUUUAGAUGAAAGCACAGGAGAAAAAGAAAAUUCUUCACGUCCUUGGAAAUGGAGAGUAGCCGUCCAUAGAGUGAGGAGUUAACCUUAGUUUCAGUGAAGAUGGCUGUUAGAAGCUGGACAACCUGUCACCACCGGAGCCAGAGCAUUUGUCAGCUCACAGGUCACCACAGAGCACUGAGUAGAGUUCCCUGAACUACACAGAAGGCUUAUGCCUGUUUGAAUGCCAGCUGAAUUCCUGUAAUUGGAUGGAAAACAAACACAAAGAAAUUAUAGAGUUAUAAAAAGAGAGCAUUUAAAAAAUAUUUCAGGUAUGUAUAAUAUGAUCAUUACUACUGUUUCACGCUGGGAUACUGUGAAGGAAAUUGGAGUCAGAAUGUAAAU